GAAAUCAGCCAAGAGUGGCUCUAAACAGCCAAGAUGUCUUGGUCAAGUGCAAGGCCUGGGUUGUGACAACAGAAGGGGAUGUUACGUGGCAACUGAGGAAAAGCAGGAAUAUGUUUAGCUUCCAGCAGCACUAAAAUAAACAGCUGGUGGCAUUUGGCUCUUGUGUUGACAUGGUGUCCAACAGGUGGCUUUAGCUGUACAGUUGCCAAGUGACAGUGCUGACAGCAAUAGUCUGCUCCUGUACAUGAAAUAUAUGGGACCCAGACACCUGGCUGAAUGCAGAAAUUAUUGGUGAGCAAGGUGGAAUAGGGGACUACAGAGUAUGAAAGGAGAAGCAGAUCUGCCCUCUUGUGUAAAAGGCAUCUACUGCAUCUUUUUUUCUUGAAUCUGAAGUUAAUUUACUCCUUGUAAAAAUACAUGAGGAGAAUAUGGGGAUGUUUUGAGCGUUUUAACCUUACCAUGAAGUGGAAAAUGAGAAAAGAAAGGAUGAAGGCUGACAUUCACACUUUAAAUGUGAUUUAUAUCUAUGAAUUAGUUUGUAAACCUAAAGGUUUAUAAAUAGACUAAUGUGAGUAGUUUGGACAUGAGAAGCUACUCUAAAUACUUAGGCUAUCAGACUUGAAACUGUGAAAAUAUGAGUAGUAC